AUUGAACGCUGGCGGCAGGCCUAACACAUGCAAGUCGAGCGGCAGAAGAGUACUUGCUCCUGGUUUCGGCGGCGGACGGGUGGGUGGGUCAGGGAAAUAUCCCUAGUUAUUUUUUCUAACGUCCGAAAGCGGGGACACAUACCCCAAUAGUGCUGAGGACCAAAGGGUGGGAUCUUCGGACCUCACGCUAUCAGGUGAUCCUAGGUCGGAUUAGCUAGUUGGUGGGGUAAAGGCCUACCAAGGCGACGAUCCGUAACUGGUCUGAGAGGAUGAUCAGUCACACUGGAACUGAGACACGGUCCAGACUCCUACGGGAGGCAGCAGUGGGGAAUAUUGGACAAUGGGCGAAAGCCUGAUCCAGCCAUGCCGCGUGUGUGAAGAAGGUCUUCGGAUUGUAAAGCCCUUUUGGUUGGGAAGAAGGGCAGUAAGUUAAUACCUCGCUGUUUUGACGGUACCAACAGAAUAAGCACCGGCUAACUUCGUG
rnacentral:rRNA from 1 species